UGCCCUAGCAGCGGGAACAGUACUGCAGUAAGCGAUCAGGGCUCUGGAGUAAUGUUUCUGCCGCUUGAGCA
rnacentral:pre_miRNA from 12 species